UACGUAGGGGGCAAGCGUUGUCCGGAUUUAUUGGGCGUAAAGAGCGUGUAGGCGGCCAGGUAGGUCGGUUGUGAAAACUCGAGGCUCAACCUCGAGAUGUCGACCGAAACCAUCUGGCUAGAGUCCGGAAGAGGAGAAUGGAAUUCCCGGUGUAGCGGUGAAAUGCGCAGAUAUCGGGAAGAACACCCGUGGCGAAGGCGGUUCUCUGGACAGUUACUGACACUGAGGCACGAAGGCCAGGGGAGCAAACGGG
rnacentral:rRNA from 1 species